rnacentral:lncRNA from 1 species
UAUAAGCACUAUAAAUAUAAUUGAAAGCAUUACAGUGUGGUAUAGUCGAGCCUCUUGUAUUAACUGAAAAUGAUCUUUGACAGUGGGACUUGAGAGAAGAUCCACUGCUGUUCCCUUCAGAGCCCUCCAGUAGCUCAUCUGUUUCAAAGGACUCUAUUUCUCAUAUCUUCAGGAAGAGUCAACCUGUCUGCAGUUAAUGGAAAUAAAGUUUCAAGCAACUUUAGAGAAAAAAAAAAGCAGAGCCAGAUCAAAAACUUAAAUUCCAAUUAUGUCAAAGGAAUGGAAGAGUUUUAUUUUUUUUUAUGAAUAGUAGAUAAGUUUCCAUAAAUUUUUUUUCUAAAUGAACACCACUGUAAAUAUAAAACUCAUGUUAAUAGUUAAUAUUUAUUGAGAACUUAUUUAUUCUGAGAUAUUCACUCUACUUAUUGUCAAAAUAAUUGACUAAAGUCAAAUUACUAAAAUGUCAAAUAAUUGUCUAAAGUAGCAUGAUGAAUGGCUGCCUCACCCCGAUUUCGAGGUUCAGGAAAAACUUUUUGUAGGAGGUAAAAUGUAAGUUGAGAUCUGAAAUAAGAGUUAACUGAAUGAGAAAAAAUGAAGAAUAAAAAGAAAACUACUUGCA